CCGGCAUGAUGAGGAAUAUGUUUAUUGUCAUCUUAUGAUUAUUCAUGUGAUGAAAGACAAUCCUCCUACUCAUUCUGA